CCUACGGGAGGCAGCAGUGGGGAAUAUUGGGCAAUGGACGCAAGCCUGACCCAGCAACGCCGCGUGAAGGAAGAAUGCUCUCGGGUUGUAAACUUCUUUUCUCAGGGACGAAGCAAGUGACGGUACCUGCGGUAUAAGCCACGGCUAACUACGUGCCAGCCGCCGCGGUAAUACGGAGGUGGCGAGCGUUAUCCGGAUUUAAUGGUUGUAAAGGGAGUGUAGGUGGGGAUGCAAGUCAGAUGUGAAAACCACGGGCUUAACCUGUUGCUUGCAUUUGAAACUGGGUGUCUUGAGUACUGGAGAGGCAGACGGAAUUCGUAGUGUAGCGGUGAAAUGCUUAGAUAUCAGGAGGAACACCGAUGGCGAAGGCAGUCUACUGGACUGUGACUGACACUGAGGCGCGAAAGCGUGGGGAGCAAACAGGAUUAGAUACCCGAGUAGUC
rnacentral:rRNA from 1 species